rnacentral:rRNA from 1 species
UAUUUAUUAGAUAAAAAACCAACGCCCUUCGGGGCUCCUUGGUGAAUCAUAAUAACUUAACGAAUCGCAUGGCCUUGCGCCGGCGAUGGUUCAUUCAAAUUUCUGCCCUAUCAACUUUCGAUGGUAGGAUAGUGGCCUACCAUGGUGGCAACGGGUAACGGGGAAUUAGGGUUCGAUUCCGGAGAGGGAGCCUGAGAAACGGCUACCACAUCCAAGGAAGGCAGCAGGCGCGCAAAUUACCCAAUCCCGAUACGGGGAGGUAGUGACAAUAAAUACUGAUACGGGGCUCUUUUGGGUCUCGUAAUUGGAAUGAGAACAAUUUAAAUCCCUUAACGAGGAACAAUUGGAGGGCAAGUCUGGUGCCAGCAGCCGCGGUAAUUCCAGCUCCAAUAGCGUAUAUUAAAGUUGUUGCAGUUAAGAAGCUCGUAGUUGAACCUUGGGUCUGGCUGGCCGGUCCGCCUCACCGCGAGUACUGGUCCGGCUGGACCUUUCCUUCUGGGGAACCUCAUGGCCUUCACUGGCUGUGGGGGGAACCAGGACUUUUACUGUGAAAAAAUUAGAGUGCUCAAAGCAGGC